AUUGAACGCUGGCGGCAUGCCUUACACAUGCAAGUCGAACGGUAACGGGCCUUCGGGUGCCGACGAGUGGCGAACGGGUGAGUAAUACAUCGGAACGUGCCCGAUCGUGGGGGAUAACGAGGCGAAAGUUUUGCUAAUACCGCAUACGAUCUACGGAUGAAAGCAGGGGACCGCAAGGCCUUGCGCGGACGGAGCGGCCGAUGGCAGAUUAGGUAGUUGGUGGGAUAAAAGCUUACCAAGCCGACGAUCUGUAGCUGGUCUGAGAGGAUGAUCAGCCACACUGGGACUGAGACACGGCCCAGACUCCUACGGGAGGCAGCAGUGGGGAAUUUUGGACAAUGGGCGCAAGCCUGAUCCAGCCAUGCCGCGUGCAGGAUGAAGGCCUUCGGGUUGUAAACUGCUUUUGUACGGAACGAAAAGCCUUCUUUUAAUACAGGAGGGUCAUGACGGUACCGUAAGAAUAAGCACCGGCUAACUACGUG
rnacentral:rRNA from 1 species